rnacentral:rRNA from 1 species
CUGCUGCCUCCCGUAGGAGUCUGGGCCGUGUCUCAGUCCCAGUGUGGGGGGCCUUCCUCUCAGAACCCCUACGCAUCGUCGCCACGGUGGGCCGUCACCCCGCCGUCUAGCUAAUGCGCCGCAUGCCCAUCCGCCACCGGAUCGCUCCUUUGGCCACCCGGAGGAUGCCCUCCGGUGGCGUCACGGGGUAUUAGGCCGCGUUUCCGCGGGUUAUCCCCCUGUGGCGGCCAGGUUGCAUACGUGUUACUCACCCGUGCGCCGGUCGCCGGG